GCCUUGAUGGUGAAAUGGUAGACACGCGAGACUCAAAAUCUCGUGCUAAACAGCGUGGAGGUUCGAAUCCUCUUCAAGGCAU
rnacentral:tRNA from 1 species